rnacentral:rRNA from 1 species
CCCUUAGAUGUUCUGGGCGGCCCGCGCACUACAAUGGCGUGUGCAGCGAGUGCCGAAGUAGAGUUUUCCGAGGUAUUCUUGCAAUGCUCGUUUUGAUGGGGAUAGACCCUUGCAACUGUUGGUUUUGAACGAGGAAUUCCUAGUAAGUAUGUGUCAUCAUCACGCACUGAUUACGUCCCUGCCCUUUGUACACACCGCCCGUCGCUCCUACCGAUUGGGUGAGCCGAUGAAACUCUCGGAUGUAGGCUAUUCAUAGCCCGCAGAAGAGAUUUGAAUCGUAGCGCUUAGAGGAAGGAGAAGUCGUAACA